CAAUAUCUGUGGGAAGAAGCUGCACAGACGUGGCAUUUCUUUUCUGGUGAUGCUCGACGGCAACCGUCUUCAGUUCCUGCUUGCUGAGUCAGCUUCCCUACCGUUUUGUCUCCAGCAAGCGAAAAGCACGUUCGAUUGGAUUAAGCAAUCGGGAAAUAGAAGUGAAGCGGCUCCGUUGGCAGCCAUACAUGCCUCCCUGACUACGGCACCGCUGCCACCAUUCGUCAAUGAUAAGGUGCUAGCUACCGGGUCAAAAUGAAACGGCAGCAGUUUCCCAAGUGUGGGCGGCAAAAGGCCAGUCAGCGAGCACACCCGAAUCAACGUCAUGCGCAAUUCCUUUGACGCCCAUCACACUUUGUCCCAGCCAGGCAAGAUGCAUCUGCUUUUUUUUUUGAAAGGAGUGCACACACACGUCGUCGCUAGCCAAGAAUACACACUUGUGCUCUAUGUGGCAUGUGCCAUAGGUGUGAACGCGGAUGUUGCGGAAUCUUCAUAGCGUGUUUUGGAACCAGCCACUGGCUGACGGCUGUUUUGUUGAUGGCGUUUUGCGAAAGCCGUUAAACAUGCGAUGCAGAUCUGCUGAAGUACUCUGUUUACUCGGGAUCCCACCCAGAAGGCUGACACAUGCAGAGACUUUCUGCGACUGGGAAAAAGCUGUCAGAGAGCCCGAAAACUUUCUCAGUGCUAACAUGACAGCGUUCGAAGACAAAGAAGUCCCGGAUGCAUUCUUGUCUCUCCGUCUGUCUUGUCGUUUGUUUAUCAAUGUCUCUGACUUGUUUGCAUCAAACCGCCUCAAGGAUCAAGAACUGUUACACACCCGAAAUUCUGUGCCUGGAAAGACGAAAAAAUCUUCCACUCGCGGAGGCAGCACUGAACACAUUCGUCAAUUAGGGGCAAUCUCCCAUUCGCUCGCCGGUCCAUUCCUGACACACCCUUUUUGCGCACUUUCAACCGGUAGGACAUGCCGGGAACACCUCACUGGGGAGGCGUCCGCGAGAUAUCUCGAGCCACCUCAUCUGGCAAGCUUCUUACCUUGUCUCUAAGGCCUGUGUAGGAAACUCAGUUCGCCGACUUGUAUCCGGGAUCUCGUUCUUUUGGUCGUGACCCAUAGCUCGUGACCGUAGAUGAGGGUGGGAAUGUAGAUGGACCGGUAACUGCACCGUGACAGAACGAUACAAUGUCCGCAUCACGACCUGUUGAUCUUCUGGUCCUUCCUGGCCUAACUCGUGAACAAGAAACCAAGAUACUUAAAAUCCAUUCACAAUACAUCCAUUUUCAACACCGCUUAUCCUCUUCACGGUCACAGGGACUCUAUGGAUCCCAAAUUGGAAUAGGCAUCUUUUUGGGAAUAAAAGUGUCAAAAUAUAAUAUUUUAGAACAUUUUUUUGGGGGGCAAUGACUGCCUUUUAAAUGACAAUAACCGGCAAUAAUUCAACGAUGAAUUGUUUUGCAAAAUGAAACUUCAUGUCUCGACCGUUACUGAUGAAAUGAUCUGAAGUUGGUUCCAUAAUUUCUCACUUGAUGGGUGUUUCAGGCCUAACAAUUUGUCCGCAACUGUUCAAAAGUCCCUUUAGCACAAAGUGUCCCCUUUUCAGUCCUUGAAGGUGCAGACGUGCCUUGUUUGUGGACAAGCUGCCUCUAAUGAGAGUUCCAGCC